rnacentral:rRNA from 1 species
GUGGGGAAUAUUGCACAAUGGGCGAAAGCCUGAUGCAGCAACGCCGCGUGAGGGACGACGGCCUUCGGGUUGUAAACCUCUUUUAGCAGGAAAGAAGCGAAAGUGACGGUACCUGCAGAAAAAGCGCCGGCUAACUACGUGCCAGCAGCCGCGGUAAUACGUAGGGCGCAAGCGUUAUCCGGAAUUAUUGGGCGUAAAGAGCUCGUAGGCGGUCUGUCGCGUCUGCUGUGAAAACCCGAGGCUCAACCUCGGGCCUGCAGUGGGUACGGGCAGACUAGAGUGCGGUAGGGGAGAUUGGAAUUCCUGGUGUAGCGGUGGAAUGCGCAGAUAUCAGGAGGAACACCGAUGGCGAAGGCAGAUCUCUGGGCCGUAACUGACGCUGAGGAGCGAAAGGGUGGGGAGCAAACAGGCUUAGAUACCCUAGUAGUCC